UACAGAGGUCCCAAGCGUUGUUCGGAUUCACUGGGCGUAAAGGGUGCGUAGGCGGUCGGGUAAGUCUGAUGUGAAAUCUCACAGCUUAACUGCGAAACUGCAUUGGAUACUAUCCGGCUCGAGGAAUGGAGGGGAGACUGGAAUACUUGGUGUAGCAGUGAAAUGCGUAGAUAUCAAGUGGAACACCAGUGGCGAAGGCGAGUCUCUGGACAUUUCCUGACGCUGAGGCACGAAAGCCAGGGGAGCAAACGGG
rnacentral:rRNA from 1 species